GAUGAACGCUGGCGGCGUGCUUAACACAUGCAAGUCGAGCGAAGCACCUUGACGGAUUUCUUCGGAAUGAAGUUUUGGUGACUGAGCGGCGGACGGGUGAGUAACGCGUGGGUAACCUGCCGUCAUACAGGGGGAUAACAGUUGGAAACGGCUGCUAAUACCGCAUAAGCGCACAGUACCGCAUGGUACGGUGUGAAAAACUCCGGUGGUAUGAGAUGGACCCGCGUCUGAUUAGCUAGUUGGUGGGGUAACGGCCUACCAAGGCGACGAUCAGUAGCCGGCCUGAGAGGGUGAACGGCCACAUUGGGACUGAGACACGGCCCAA
rnacentral:rRNA from 1 species